UACGUAGGGCGCGAGCGUUGUCCGGAAUUAUUGGGCGUAAAGAGCUCGUAGGCGGCCGGUCGCGUCGGCUGUGAAAACUCGGGGCUCAACCCCGAGCCUGCAGUCGAUACGGGCAGACUAGAGUGCUGUAGGGGAGACUGGAAUUCCUGGUGUAGCGGUGAAAUGCGCAGAUAUCAGGAGGAACACCGGUGGCGAAGGCGGGUCUCUGGGCAGUAACUGACGCUGAGAAGCGAAAGCGUGGGGAGCGAUCAGG
rnacentral:rRNA from 1 species